AGCAGCCGCGGUAAUUCCAGCUCCAAUAGCGUAUAUUAAAGUUGUUGCAGUUAAAAAGCUCGUAGUUGAAUUUCGGGGUUAGUAGAUUGGUCAUGCCUCUGGUAUGCACUGGUCUUACUGAUUCCUCCUUCCUGAUGAACCGUAAUGCCAUUAAUUUGGUGUUGCGGGGAAACUGGACUGUUACUUUGAAAAAUUAGAGUGUUUAAAGCAAGCUAACGCUUGAAUACAUUAGCAUGGAAUAAUGAAAUAGGACGUUCGAUCCUAUUUUGUUGGUUUCUAGGAUUGACGUAAUGAUUAAUAGGGAUAGUUGGGGGCAUUAGUAUUCAAUUGUCAGAGGUGAAAUUCUUGGAUUUAUUUGAAGACU
rnacentral:rRNA from 1 species